GUAAUAUUGACAGAUUGUGAUUAACAGAAGUCAAAACUUGCUUCAGAUUUCUUCAGUUUUUAACUGAAUGUCCGUUUUCUUCACCAGAAUACCAUGUUAGAGUUAGAUGUCACGUCUCCUUUGAAACUGCCAGGCUGUGACAAUCCCAUGUAUCCAGCUGUCUUCUUACAUUAUCAUUCAUGUUUACAAUAUAGAACUACGAAAAGGAUAGAAGGAGGACUCUUGUCCAUUAAAAGUUUUUCUAUAAUUCAGAGCUGAAGAAAUGAAUCAGUGCCAUUGUUUUGCUGAAGGUCAAUACCAGAUAAUUCACAAAAAGAAAGAACACCCAGGAAAUCACAGGACAAGAUGCAAUUUCAGGUAUCCAGCUCAGCACCCAAACUAGUCACCAUUUAACUCUGGAAGCAAAGACCAGAAUGAACCCUCAUACAUUGUGCCAGUGCGGAUGAGCUUGGUAUCAUUCAUCUUUCUCAGAAAUAAUAAAAAUCCCAAUGCUAUGAGGAGCUAACUGUGCAAAGUUAUUUCUCCAUUUAUAACAGGAGUAUGAGAAGGAUUCAUAAUUCACCUGAUUUUGGAUGCACCCUCUGCCAAGACUAGAUUAUUCUGGGAAGAGAUCACAGUUGAAAACAAUGGUAAAAACUUCUUUAGUUUUAAAAUUAUGCUUAAUGCCAGAAAUGAGCCACACACAGGAUGAGUCGUCUGACUAUGGCUAGA
ensembl:lncRNA